rnacentral:rRNA from 1 species
AUUGAACGCUGGCGGCAGGCCUAACACAUGCAAGUCGAACGGUAACAGGAAGCAGCUUGCUGCUUUGCUGACGAGUGGCGGACGGGUGAGUAAUGUCUGGGAAACUGCCUGAUGGAGGGGGAUAACUACUGGAAACGGUAGCUAAUACCGCAUAACGUCGCAAGACCAAAGAGGGGGACCUUCGGGCCUCUUGCCAUCGGAUGUGCCCAGAUGGGAUUAGCUAGUAGGUGGGGUAACGGCUCACCUAGGCGACGAUCCCUAGCUGGUCUGAGAGGAUGACCAGCCACACUGGAACUGAGACACGGUCCAGACUCCUACGGGAGGCAGCAGUGGGGAAUAUUGCACGAUGGGCGCAAGCCUGAUGCAGCCAUGCCGCGUGUAUGAAGAAGGCCUUCGGGUUGUAAAGUACUUUCAGCGGGGAGGAAGGGAGUAAAGUUAAUACCUGUGCUCAUUGACGUUACCCGCAGAAGAAGCACCGGCUAACUCCGUG